rnacentral:lncRNA from 1 species
GAAGGUGCUGGACAAGUGUCAAGAGGUCAUCUCGUGGCUGGACGCCAACACCCUGGCCGAGAAGGACGAGUUUGAGCACAAGAGGAAGGAGCUGGAGCAGGUGUGUAACCCCAUCAUCAGCGGACUGUACCAGGGUGCCAGUGGUCCCGGGCCUGGCGGCUUCGGGGCUCAGGGUCCCAAGGGAGGGUCUGGGUCAGGCCCUACCAUUGAGGAGGUGGAUUAGGGGCCUUCGUUCCUUAGUAUGUUUGUCUUUGAGGUGGACUGUUUGGACUCAAGGACUUU